CGCCGAAGACUUCUGCACGAGCAGACACCCGCCAGGCCAGACACACACGAAGUCCAUCAUGUCAAGCCACUUACAGGUGUUUUCUUUAUCAGCGCCUGUCUUAGUUUCAACUCUUUUACUUGCUGCACACGUGUCAGUCUUGGCUGUUGUAACCAACAGCCUAUAUGUCAGUUUGGUUUAUUUGCCAGAAAGCAUGCCUGUGCCCUCUGUAACACUUGCCAGCACGCGCAUCUGUCUCGGUUGGUUUAUUUGCCGGCAAACACAUCAGAUAAAGUUGUUCUUACAGCUCACACCUUGCUGCUCCUGGACACUACAGUAAUCACCGACCGGAAGAGAAGGUCCAAGGCAAAGUUCAUAGUCUUCUGUUUGUUAAGUAGUCUCAGACACGCGCGGUACAUUACAAAGGUGUGAGGAGGCAAGCAGGGCUCCCAUCAUCAAGGUGUGCAUUCACUACUGGCGGGAGGGACUCACCCUGCCGUCGACAACGGUAACGGGCUGUGACGAUUAUCGCCGCCAGAAGCCCAUGGGUGAGUCGGCAAACAUCGUUCACUGGGCAUACAAACUCUCCUCCCCGCCAACUACACAGACAGCGCCCUCGACCGGGGAUGCCACGUUGAAGCAGGUCCUACAUUUCACAGCUGCUUGCUCAGUUUGCUUCGGGAGGGGGAGUCGAAACAGACCGAAACUCAGUAAUGGAUGUCUACUUAAAGGACCGGAUGAGACCUAAAUUUUACCUGGCCUCUCUGUAAGGGGCCAUGGUAUUGUUGAGAGUCCAGACUAACUCGCCAUCCUGACGAAGGUGACUUAUCGUCAGUACUGCGUGACACAGGGGGCAUCUGGUCACUGCUGACAAAAAAUGUUUCACAGGCUCUCGACAUCCUCAGCUGCGGUGAGAGGUCUUACAGAAAAAUACUUCAAUUGAAAGCUCUUUGUUGACAAUCAAACUAAUUCCUAGGUAC